ACUCAUCCGAGGCCCGUAAUCGGAAUGAGUACACUUUAAAUCCUUUAACAAGGAUCCAUUGGAGGGCAAGUCUAGUGCCAGCAGCCGCGGUAAUUCUAGCUCCAAUAGCGUAUAUUAAAGCUGUUGCGGUUAAAAAGCUCGUAGUUGGUUCUGUGUUCCACGCUGUCGGUUCACCGCAUGUCUGUGUAACUGACAUGUCGUGGGACGUCCUGCCGGUGGUAGUUAAACGCCAGGUGCUCAAGUCUUGGACUUGUUCCAUUGAUUUUGAGCCAACUGGUUAGUUUAAAUUACCGAGCGCACUUACCCGCCCUGGUGCUCUUUACUGAGUGUCGAGGAGGGCCGGCACAUUUACUGUGCACAAAUUAGAGUGCUCAAGGCAGGCAAAAUUACGCCUAAAUAGUGGUGCAUGGAAUAAUAGAAUAAGACUUUGGUUUUAUUUUGUUGGUUUUUUGAACCUAAGGUAAUGAUCAAUAUGGACGGUCGGGGGCAUUCGUAUUGCGACGUUAGAGGUGAAAUUCUUGGAUCGUCGCAAGACGCACAAGAGCGAAAGCAUUUGCCAAGUACGUCCUAAUUGAUCAAGAACGAAAGUUAGAGGCUCGAAGGCGAUCAGAUACCGCCCUAGUUCUAACCAUAAACGAUGUCAGCCAGCGAUCCGUCGGAGUUUAUAUCAUGACUCGACGGGCAGCUUCCGGGAAACCAAAGCUUUUGGGUUCCGGGGGAAGUAUGGUUGCAAAGCUGAAACUUAAAGGAAUUGACGGAAGGGCACCACCAGGAGUGGAGCUUGCGGCUUAACUUGACUCAACACGGGAAAUCUCACCAG
rnacentral:rRNA from 1 species